rnacentral:rRNA from 1 species
GUAGGGAAUAUUGGACAAUGGGGGGAACCCUGAUCCAGCCAUGCCGCGUGGAGGAAGACUGCCCUCUGGGUUGUAAACUCCUUUUAUAUGGGAAGAACCGUCCUCAUUAAUGAGUGACCUGACGGUACCAUAGGAAUAAGCACCGGCUAACUCCGUGCCAGCAGCCGCGGUAAUACGGAGGGUGCAAGCGUUAUCCGGAUUCACUGGGUUUAAAGGGUGCGUAGGCGGAUAAAUAAGUCAGUGGUGAAAUCAACGGGCUCAACCUGUUAACUGCCAUUGAUACUGUGUAUCUUGAAUAUGAGAGAGGUAGGCGGAAUGUUGCAUGUAGCGGUGAAAUGCUUAGAUAUGCUACGGAACACCGAUUGCGAAGGCAGCUUACUAUUUCGUAAUUGACGCUGAGGCACGAAAGCGUGGCUAGCGAACAGGAUUAGAAACCCCAGUAGUCC